UACGUAGGGUCCGAGCGUUGUCCGGAAUUAUUGGGCGUAAAGAGCUCGUAGGCGGUUUGUUGCGUCGGCUGUGAAAUCCCGAGGCUCAACCUCGGGUCUGCAGUCGAUACGAGCAAACUAGAGUGUUGCAGGGGAGACUGGAAUUCCUGGUGUAGCGGUGAAAUGCGCAGAUAUCAGGAGGAACACCGGUGGCGAAGGCGGGUCUCUGGGCCGAUACUGACGCUGAGGAGCGAAAGCGUGGGGAGCGAACAGG
rnacentral:rRNA from 1 species